GAUUUGGGGAAGGGGUGGCGGGGGAGAUCCCACACAAGCAGCCAAUCCAGCUGUCCCGGGGAGGAAGAGGAGGAGUCAAGGCCCGCCCCGGGUCUCCGCACUGCUCAGUCCCGCUCUGUGGGGUUGGCACGGUUGCAGCUCUUCGGUCCCUUUGGUUCUCUUAGUCCCGAGCGCUCGCCCACUGCAGCUUCCUUUCCCGUGCAGAUAUGGCCUCUGGCACCACCACCACCGCCGUGAAGAUUGGAAUAAUUGGUGGAACAGGCCUGGAUGAUCCAGAAAUUUUAGAAGGAAGAACUGAAAAAUAUGUGGAUACUCCAUUUGGCAAGCCAUCUGAUGCCUUAAUUUUGGGGAAGAUAAAAAAUGUUGAUUGCGUCCUUCUUGCAAGGCAUGGAAGGCAGCACACCAUCAUGCCUUCAAAGGUCAACUACCAGGCGAACAUCUGGGCUUUGAAGGAAGAGGGCUGUACACAUGUCAUAGUGACCACAGCCUGUGGCUCCUUGAGGGAGGAGAUUCAGCCCGGUGAUAUUGUCAUUAUUGAUCAAUUCAUUGACAGGACCACUAUGAGACCUCAGUCCUUCUAUGAUGGAAGUCAUUCUUGUGCCAGAGGAGUGUGCCAUAUUCCAAUGGCUGAGCCGUUUUGCCCCAAAACGAGAGAGGUUCUUAUAGAGACUGCUAAGAAGCUAGGACUCCGGUGCCACUCCAAGGGGACAAUGGUCACAAUCGAGGGACCUCGUUUUAGCUCCCGGGCAGAAAGCUUCAUGUUCCGCACCUGGGGGGCGGAUGUAAUCAACAUGACCACAGUUCCAGAGGUGGUUCUUGCUAAGGAGGCUGGAAUCUGUUACGCAAGUAUCGCCAUGGCGACAGAUUAUGACUGCUGGAAGGAGCAUGAGGAAGCAGUAGGUGGAAUUCUCUUCUGAGCACAUAUAGCAUGGGUUUCUGGGUGCCAAUAAGAGGAUGUCUUAACUGUUUGUUUCUAUUACAUUAGUUUCAGAAAGUGCCUUUCUACAAGGUUUUAAGUUGUCAACAUUUUCUAUAGUUCCUAUUGGAAGGUUUCGGUGGACCGGGUCUUAAAGACCCUGAAAGAAAAUGCUAAUAAAGCCAAAAGCUUACUGCUGACUACUAUACCUCAGAUAGGGUCCACGGAAUGGUCAGAAACCCUCCAUAACCUGAAGAAUAUGGCCCAGUUUUCUGUUUUAUUACCAAGACAUUAAAGUAGCAUGACUGCCCAGGAGAAAAGAAGACAUUCUAAUUCCAGUCAUUUUGGAAAUUCCUGCUUAACUUGAAAAAAAUAUGGGAAAGACAUGCAGCUUUCAUGCCCUUGCCUGUCAAAGAGCAUGUUGUAAGAAAGACAAGACAUUGUGUGUAUUAGAGACUCCUCAAUGACUUGGACAACUUCAAAAUACAGAAGAAAAGCAAAUGAUCAGUAAACAUGUGGGAAAAAAUAUUACAUUGUAGAGGGAAAAAAAAACCACCAUUAUCUUCUCCCCCUAUUAAAUUUGCAACAAUAAAGGUUGGAAGGUAAUCUCUACUUUCCUAUACUGCCAAAGAAUAUGAGGAAGAAA